rnacentral:tRNA from 2 species
ACCGCAUUAGCUCAGUGGACAGAGCCGUGGACUUCUAAUCCAUGCGGUCCCAGGUUCGAAUCCUGGAUGCGGUU